UCGAACGAUGAACCGCUUUCGGGCGGGGAUUAGUGGCGAACGGGUGAGUAACACGUGGGCAAUCUGCCCUGCACUCUGGGACAAGCCCUGGAAACGGGGUCUAAUACCGGAUAUGACUGUCCAUCGCAUGGUGGAUGGUGUAAAGCUCCGGCGGUGCAGGAUGAGCCCGCGGCCUAUCAGCUUGUUGGUGAGGUAGUGGCUCACCAAGGCGACGACGGGUAGCCGGCCUGAGAGGGCGACCGGCCCUACUGGGACUGAGACACGGCCCAGACUUAUACGGGAGGCAGCAGUGGGGAAUAUUGCACAAUGGGCGAAAGCCUGAUGCAGCGACGCCGCGUGAGGGAUGACGGCCUUCGGGUUGUAAACCUCUUUCAGCAGGGAAGAAGCGAAAGUGACGGUACCUGCAGAAGAAGCGCCGGCUAACUACGUGCCAGCAGCCGCGGUAAUACGUAGGGCGCAAGCGUUGUCCGGAAUUAUUGGGCGUAAAGAGCUCGUAGGCGGCUUGUCACGUCGGUUGUGAAAGCCCGGGGCUUAACCCCGGGUCUGCAGUCGAUACGGGCAGGCUAGAGUUCGGUAGGGGAGAUCGGAAUUCCUGGUGUAGCGGUGAAAUGCGCAGAUAUCAGGAGGAACACCGGUGGCGAAGGCGGAUCUCUGGGCGAUACUGACGCUGAGGAGCGAAA
rnacentral:rRNA from 1 species